rnacentral:rRNA from 1 species
UGAGGAAUAUUGGUCAAUGGACGAGAGUCUGAACCAGCCAAGUAGCGUGCAGGAUGACGGCCCUAUGGGUUGUAAACUGCUUUUGUUUGGGAAUAAUCGACAUUACGUGUAAUGUUUUGCAUGUACUAUUCGAAUAAGGACCGGCUAAUUCCGUGCCAGCAGCCGCGGUAAUACGGAAGGUCCAGGCGUUAUCCGGAUUUAUUGGGUUUAAAGGGAGCGUAGGCUGUUUGUUAAGCGUGUUGUGAAAUGUAAGAGCUCAACUUUUAGAUUGCAGCGCGAACUGGCAGACUUGAGUGCGCACAACGUAGGCGGAAUUCAUGGUGUAGCGGUGAAAUGCUUAGAUAUCAUGACGAACUCCGAUUGCGAAGGCAGCUUACGGGAGCGCAACUGACGCUAAAGCUCGAAGGUGCGGGUAUCGAACAGG